rnacentral:lncRNA from 1 species
CCAUAACAUUCUCACCUGUACUUGCUUUCAGUCUCUCUGAGCUCCUGUGCAUCCUGGUUCCCCUGGAAUUCUGUGCUCAUGGAACAUGGCAAACAUGAGUUGCAAAUGAUAUGGAGAGAGGGCAAUAGUCACAUGUAUCAGGCUCACCUCCUCUAUUCUAUGCAUCUUCCCUUGUCCCAUAGGGCUUCCAUCUGUAAAACAGAGUUUAAAGAUUA